AGAGCUAAAGGGAAGGCAGCAGACCCGCAGCACCAUGAGCACAAAACAGCAGCCAUUUCUUAAAAAAACUGGAAAAGAAUAACAGACUAUCAGUGCAAAUCCGAGGAUAAUCUGGAGGAUCGAUUUUAAUUAGCGUAGUCUGUGCUUCUCAUCAUCUUCCCAGCCUUCUACAGCUCGAGGGUAGACAGUCGACACACACACACGACAACCCGCGGGGUAACGAUACACUUACACGGAAAAUGACAAGAGCAGGACAAAUUCCAAUGAUAAAAGAAACGAUUGAAUCUGAGGGAUCCGAGUUGAAGUGAGGAAGAGGAACGAGGCUUGGCACUCCAUCCAGAUCCUGUCGGGCACGGUGGUCGGUGCCAUCUGUCGAACGGUUCGCGCUCUCAGCAGUGGGCACGGCUUUAAUCCUCCAUCUUCUGAACCGAUCCUGGAUCCGGCUUGUUCCAACCACCACAGGAUUCGCUAAUCAAGACCUGCUCUUAUGUCUCGGACCUGCGAUGUGUCAGCAGAAUCACGAGGUCCAAUCAGGAAAUGGAAGAUAAAAGUGUCACCUGUCGUCUUCUGGGUGGAGCGAUGAAGCCGUGUUACCCUCAUCACUCCUACACUGAUUAUUUUCUUGUAGCAGCACAUCCCAGAGAGGUGUACUCCUUCUUCUUCAUGUCAACUUGCAGAUUUCGAGUCAGUUUGUUGUUACAUUCAGUGUCGUGGAAACAAGUUAGUUCCGGUUCUCUCUUAUGUUACAGCAGCUAUAAACACUCGUUCCUUCGCUGGCCUUUCAUUUGCAUCAGAAAAACAUAAAAUUACAGCUUUAGCUCAAACUCAUGUCUACUUACAGACUUUAUCUUUAACUGUGAGUAAGCUGUUGCUAUAGAAAUGAUAAUGUACUACUACCAGAAUGAGCACCUUAACGUAAACCUGCGCUACGGUCAGGUCUGCCGUUAUGGAGAUUUAACAGUCGCCUGACAACCAAUCGGAACUCAGAACUCUAGAUCGCUGUGAUGAGGAAACUGUUUAUUACAGAAUACUAUAGUGUUGUUAAAUAUGACUGUGUUGAGUCAUUCUCUCUCUCUCUCUCUCUCUCUUUCUCUCUCUCUCCUCUGACGGACAGCGCCUGACUCCGUCUGACUUCAGACACGGUAUCUGUUUAACGUGAGGCCUGACCAGAGUGUAUCCUUCUGCUGAAAUAAGGGCUGAGAGUAUAGCUCUGGGAUUAGUGGGUUUAUGAGUCAUGUCUAUACGCUAAAGGAUGUGUUCUGCUUAUUCAGCAACACACUCAUUAAACAACACACACACAGUUACCGGACUCGAGCUGGACCAUGACACACAGCAGCACAUGAGAGGAUCACGAGAAGAUCCUGCGAUAUCAGCAGCCGCUGUGUUAUCA